CGGCGGGACACGUGAAAUCCCGUCGGAAUCUGGGAGGACCAUCUCCCAACCCUAAAUACUCCCUAGUGACCGAUAGUGAACCAGUACCGUGAGGGAAAGGCGAAAAGAACCCCUGUGAGGGGAGUGAAAUAGAUCCUGAAACCGUAUGCGUACAAGUAUUGGGAGCAGACUUUGUUCUGUGACUGCGUACCUUUUGUAUAAUGGGUCAGCGACUUAUUUUCAGUGGCGAGCUUAACCGAAUAGGGGAGGCGUAGCGAAAGCGAGUCUUAAUAGGGCGUCUAGUCGCUGGGAAUAGACCCGAAACCGGGCGAUCUAUCCAUGAGCAGGUUGAAGGUGCCGUAACAGGCACUGGAGGACCGAACCCACUGUCUUUGAAAAGCCAGGGGAUGACUUGUGGAUAGGGGUGAAAGGCUAAUCAAACUCGGUGAUAGCUGGUUCUCCCCGAAAGCUAUUUAGGUAGCGCCUCAUGUAUCACUGUAGGGGGUAGAGCACUGUUUCGGCUAGGGGGUCAUCCCGACUUACCAAACCGAUGCAAACUCCGAAUACCUACAAGUGCCUAGCAUGGGAGACACACGGCGGGGGCUAACGU
rnacentral:rRNA from 14 species